ensembl:lncRNA
AUGCCCUGUUUUCCAGCAGAAACCUUGACCAAGUUCCCUAAUGGCUUGAAGUCUAGCUGGUCAGCAACCCAAACCGGCUCAGACCAGAGAAUCCAGUGUAACAAGCAACAUUUUGACUAUAAGAGUCAUUGUCCCCAUCAGUCCCUGGCAUUCUGCUCAUGGCUGGUUCUGCCCACUCCUCAGCAGUGGGAGGUACACAAGAGAAACUGUUUGUGCCGCUAACAAGGGGAGGUAAAGAGACAUGAAGGGUCUCAUUGCAGCUGCCACAGGUCACCUUUCACGUUCACCUCUACUAUUCAACACGCUCCAGGUGGACUAUUCAAUGCCUCUUUGCAAGCUGUGGCCUAAUAAGUAAGAGCAAAAUACAUCAGAAUGAAUUGAAACAGUUGUUCUUAUGCUGUAAAACACUGUGCAUUAUAUAAACACUUUAGAUGCAAAUGAUAAGAUGUCAACAAAUAACACGGAGAACAUGGUGUAAAAUCUUAUAAUUUCCUCAAGAGAUUAUGAGUAAACCACCAAAACAAUGGGGUUUGGUUUGCUAGACAAUUCCUUUCCACAAAAUGUGGAUAUUAUUUACUGGUUGCAUGGAAAUGCUAAGUAUGCAAAAAAAUAGCUAUAUGUGCCAAAAAAAAAAAGUGCAAAAUAUCCUAGAAAGUUUAGGUGCAUGUUAUUGCUAAUAGAAAUGAAUAGGCUAAUUCACAUAAGUGACGUCCUCCUUCUAGAAAGCAUUUUUCUAGGCAAAAAUUCGGAAAUGAGUCAAGCUCAACAAUAUUUUGAAUGUUUAUCCCUAAGAGAAAGGUUGGCAAUUUGAAAUGCUAAAAUCUAAACGCUAAAAGGUAAUUUUGUCUGCUUUGAAAAGUACUUCAUGGAUAAUCUCAAAACUACCAGACUUUGAUGAUGGACUCCUAGUUGUUCAUUAUUUUAUUCAAUAAUGUAUCGCUAAUAUCGCUAUUCGCUAGCUAUUUAAAGUGAUCUUGGUGGGUUUUUUUUGUCAAAUCUCAUGCAGCAGGAGUCAAUAUAACAUUACAAUAGUAAUGUUUUUAAUUUAGACUUUUUUAGAUACAAAAAGUUGACUUUUUGAUGUAUGGCUUGUUUAAUGAUAUAUGAUAAUUGUGCAGUUAGCUAGCCUGAUGAUGUUUGAAUAAGAGAAAAAUCCACAGCAUGAUUACUGCAGUGACUCUGAUGCCCUUCCAAGAUUUUUUCUCCCAGUCAAUGAAUAAAAUGACUCAGAAUAAUCUGUUUGCA